UGCCCUGAUGUGGGGGAUAACCAUUGGAACCGAUGGCUAAUACCGCAUAAUGCCUACGGGCCAAAGAGGGGGACCUUCGGGCCUCUCGCGUCAGAGUAUGCCUAGGUGGGAUUAGCUAGUUGGUGAGGUAAGGGCUCACCAAGGCGACGAUCCCUAGCUGGUCUGAGAGGAUGAUCAGCCACACUGGAACUGAGACACGGUCCAGACUCCCGAUGGAGGCAGCAGUGGGGAAUAUUGCACAAUGGGCGCAAGCUCUGAUGCAGCCAUGCCGCGUGUGUGAAGAAGGCCUUCGGGUUGUAAAGCACUUUCAGUCGUGAGGAAGGUAGUGUAGUUAAUAGCUGCAUUAUUUGACGUUAGCGACAGACAGAAGCACCGGCUAACUCCGUGCCAGCAGCCGCGGUAAGCAUGAGGGUGCGAGCGUUAAUCGGAAUUACUGGGCGUAAAGCGCAUGCAGGUGG
rnacentral:rRNA from 1 species